rnacentral:rRNA from 1 species
CCUUGACAUACUAAGAACUUUCCAGAGAUGGAUUGGUGCCUUCGGGAACUUAGAUACAGGUGCUGCAUGGCUGUCGUCAGCUCGUGUCGUGAGAUGUUGGGUUAAGUCCCGNAACGAGCGCAACCCUUUUCCUUAUUUGCCAGCGGGUCAUGCCGGGAACUUUAAGGAUACUGCCAGUGACAAACUGGAGGAAGGCGGGGACGACGUCAAGUCAUCAUGGCCCCUACGGCCAGGGCUACACACGUGCUACAAUGGUCGGUACAAAGGGUUGCUACCUCGCGAGAGGAUGCUAAUCUCAAAAAGCCGAUCGUAGUCCGGAUCGCAGUCUGCAACUCGACUGCGUGAAGUCGGAAUCGCUAGUAAUCGCGGAUCAGAAUGCCGCGGUGAAUACGUUCCCGGGCCUUGUACACACCGCCCGUCACACCAUGGGAGUUUGUUGCACCAGAAGUAGGUAGUCUAACCGCAAGGAGGACGCUUACCACGGUGUGGCCGAUGACUGGGGUGAAGUCGUAACAAGGUAGGCGUAGAUGA